rnacentral:rRNA from 1 species
GACGAACGCUGGCGGCGUGCCUAAUACAUGCAAGUUGAGCGCUGAAGGUUGGUACUUGUACCGACUGGAUGAGCAGCGAACGGGUGAGUAACGCGUGGGGAAUCUGCCUUUGAGCGGGGGACAACAUUUGGAAACGAAUGCUAAUACCGCAUAAAAACUUUAAACACAAGUUUUAAGUUUGAAAGAUGCAAUUGCAUCACUCAAAGAUGAUCCCGCGUUGUAUUAGCUAGUUGGUGAGGUAAAGGCUCACCAAGGCGAUGAUACAUAGCCGACCUGAGAGGGUGAUAGGCCACAUUGGGACUGAGACCAGGCCCAAACUCCUACGGGAGGCAGCAGUAGGGAAUCUUCGGCAAUGGACGAAAGUCUGACCGAGCAAAGCCGCGUGAGUGAAGAAGGUUUUCGGAUCGUAAAACUCUGUUGGUAGAGAAGAAAGUUGGUGAGAGUGGAAAGCUCAUCAAGUGACGGUAACUACCCAGAAAGGGACGGCUAACUACGUG